GACGUAGGGCGCGAGCGUUGUCCGGAUUUAUUGGGCGUAAAGAGCUCGUAGGCGGCUUGUCGCGUCGUCCGUGAAAACCUGCGGCUCAACUGCAGGCUGGCGGUCGAUACGGGCAUCACUGGAGUUCGGCAGGGGAGACUGGAAUUCCUGGUGUAGCGGUGAAAUGCGCAGAUAUCAGGAGGAACACCGGUGGCGAAGGCGGCCUGCUGGGCAGUUUGAGCUGACACUGAGGCGCGACAGCGUGGGGAGCAAACAGG
rnacentral:rRNA from 1 species